UAAUACGGAGGAUGCGAGCGUUAUCCGGAUUCAUUGGGUUUAAAGGGUGCGCAGGCGGAUAUAUAAGUCGGAGGUGAAAUUCUGAUGCUCAACAUCAGCCGUGCCUUCGAUACUGUAUAUCUAGAGUCAAGUUGGAGUAGGCGGAAUGUGUUGUGUAGCGGUGAAAUGCUUAGAUAUAACACAGAACACCGAUCGCGAAGGCAGCUUACUAAACUUUGACUGACGCUCAUGCACGAAAGCGUGGGGAUCAAACAGGAUUAGAUACCCUGGUAGUCCACGCUGUAAACGAUGAUUACUCGCUGUUGGCGAUACACAGUCAGUGGCUAAGCGAAAGUGAUAAGUAAUCCACCUGGGGAGUACGACGGCAACGUUGAAACUCAAAUGAAUUGACGG
rnacentral:rRNA from 1 species